AGGACAUCCAUAUACCUGGCGAUGAAUUUUUCUUCUUGGAAAUUUGAAGUGUUCGUAUUUCCUGAAUUCGGAGAGAGGGUUAAAAGCAAAUGGGAACAAUGGUGUCUAUAAAUCAGACCUACAGAUGAGAAAGGAUGAUGAUGCAUCUUAGUUCAGAGGAGAUACUCAAGCU
rnacentral:lncRNA from 14 species